rnacentral:rRNA from 1 species
UGCGGAGGGGGCUAGCGUUGUUCGGAAUUACUGGGCGUAAAGCGCGCGUAGGCGGCUUUGUAAGUUAGAGGUGAAAGCCCGGAGCUCAACUCCGGAAUAGCCUUUAAGACUGCAUCGCUAGAACGUUGGAGAGGUAAGUGGAAUUCCGAGUGUAGAGGUGAAAUUCGUAGAUAUUCGGAAGAACACCAGUGGCGAAGGCGACUUACUGGACAACUGUUGACGCUGAGGUGCGAAAGCGUGGGGAGCAAACAGG